AAGGGUUUAGCUCAGAGGUAGAGUGCAUGCCUAGCAUGCAGGAGGUCCUGGGUUCAACUUCUAGUACCUCCA
rnacentral:tRNA from 1 species